UCUAUUUUUGGAGGUGGUUUCGUUGUGGAGCUAGAAGGCGGAUCUACGAUCUCUGAUUCCUUCGAUGGAAAUCAACUCCUCACUCCCUUACUUGUGGAGGUAAAUUUGCUAUUCUAGACUAUGCGAACCUCUCUCCAUAUCAAACAUGAUAUUGUGCAUUUUGAGUCGGAUUAUCUUCAAAUAGUAAAGUUGAUCGAAGAAAAAUAUUUUUGACCAUCUGUAAUUUUAAAAUGAGAAGAAUUUUUUUUUCAUAUUCUUUUUUUAUUUACGUUAUUUUCUCUAUCUUUUAUUCCUAGUGAAUUUAAUGUUAGAACAGAUUUUUUUGCGAAAAAAACUAAUACGAAAAACUACUGAAUUCUCCUAGGUAAACAAUUUGGUUCUUUUGGGAUUAGCUCUCCAGCUUAACCUUUUUAAACCGGUUUAAUAAAAUAUGGUGUUUGCAGUAGAAAAAAAAACAAUUAGCAAGUGGUAACCAUUUAUUUACACACGAUAUUACCAUAUCUUUAUAUAUAAAAGAGAGUUUGAUCUCUCCUGGUGAAGCCACCUCAGCAUCCAGGUCACAAAUUCGUGCUCUGUCGUGCUGACACGUGUCGCCUUUCCUCUCAACGCAGCGUUUCAUUAAUGUAUGGUAUCAUGGGCUUUCCGUUUAUUGUAUGUUAUUGGUCUUGGAAUCGUGCAAACAUCCGGCCUGGAAAGUGAAAAUAGAAACUCUCUCCCCCUAACCCUAAUACAGCUUAAACUAACCCACGAAGAUCGUCUCUCAUCUUCAUGCGGCCGCGGUGACGUUUGCGCUUACUGUAACAGACUUCUUUAUGGAUUCCUCUUUAAUCCUGUUGAUUUAUUCUCCCAUGAUGUGUCUUCGAUGCGUUGAUUAGGUCUGAAAGGCGGUGUGUGUUCAGCAUAAAUAUGUGAGCAAUCCUCAUCUUGGACUCAUCUUUUCUUUCAAUUCUCUGAAAGUAUCUCAAGUUAAGCGAGGCGGCGAGGGUCGACACACUCCUCAUGUACGCCAAGGGUUGACAUCGCCAUUAACGAUCGUCUAACUCUUCGACCCACUCCAACCACGAUUCACAAUUCAAUGCGUUGUUCCUUUCUACAAGGCGGUAGAUCUCCAGCUAUAAGAAGAUAUGUGUUGUUGAUGAGACCGACUGACGAAGCUGUUUUGAUUACCAGUAUCCAGUUUCAAAGGUCUCGGUUACACUAGAACAAGAAGUUCUCACAACGCUUACACAAAUACAUCGAUUUGUGAGAAUAAUCUUACGUCCCAAGUUUUUUAAAACUAUAAACUGAUUCUUCCAAUGGCGUUCCCACGAGAACAAGCCAAGAAUGACUCUGUUAGUUAAAUACUUGGCAAGUUUCUAUCGAAUUUUCUUAUUCAUUUUUUGUUUAAUUUGUGGGUUGUUUUAAAUUCAAAUUUCUUACUUCAUUUCGAUUGCGUAGAUUGUAAAUUAAAAAACAAGCAAGAUAGGAUACUCGGGGAGGUCAGAAAUGAGAAAGUUGAGCAAUGAUGAAGAGAUGGAUGAGAUUGGGAUUGAGGUUUCAGGGUUGAAUUAUGAGUCUGAUGAGUUGAACAAGAGCAGUAAGACUACUAAGAGUGUUCAAAAUGGAGGAGGUAAUGUAAGAAUAGAAUGCCUGCUAAGAAUCCGAUGGCUGAGAAGAGGAGGAGGUGGGUGAUAGGCUUUACAUGCUUAGAUCAGUUGGCCCCAAGAUCAGCAAAAUAAACAAUUACUUCUCUCUGAUCUCCUCAAGGGCUUCGUCUUCAUCAUUUAUUUAUCGCCGUUAGAGUUCGAUAGAUUAUGUGUUGUGUUUGUUGCGAUGGAAUUUCAUUAACAACCACAUACAUUAUGCAUUAAACCUCAGACUUCGGUUCGUGUCAAUUUCAAAGAUACCACAUGCAGCUGUUUAUUAGCUUUCCAAAAAAUGUUAUUCACAUACCCAUCAAUAGUGUCCAAAAUAGUAGAUUCAGUGAUCCAUUUCAGUUACGCAACUUGAUAUACAACAAACUCACUCAGUUGACAAAAAAAUAACAAACACUCACGUGGAUAGCUCACCGAACCUCCCGUACUGCAUAGAUUAAGUUUGGCUGAUUUUCCACAGUAAUUUGACGCCCAAAAUAACAAGUCCCACAUCAUAAAGGAUAUCAAUUGAUAAAUCAAAACUAAUCCCUUUCUAGAAUUGGAGACUUGGAGGCAUGCUUAAAUUAUUGAUCCAGAAUACAAAACCAAAUACACAAACACCAUAAGAUGCUACCUUAGAUAACUAGAUAUUGAUAGUAAAACAGAGGCACCCUCACAUAAGGUACGAAAAUAGUAACCCACCUUAAUCUACAAAGUUAGUUAUAUUAAAGAAAUAUGGCAAGGCUGAAUCGAAUGGAUAUACAAAAAAAAAAGAUGACAAAAAAAUAGCCAUAUAAAUUUGCAAAACCUUCAACAUUGUAUAUGUAAAUAAAAAGAUUAGUCUUUUUAAUAUAUAUAUAUAUAUAUAAUUUAACCAACAAAUAAUAUUUGGUGAAAAUUUAGUCAACAAAUAAUAUUUUUUUGAAGAUACAUAAUAUAACCCAAUACAUAAAUAUAAGAGUACAUAGAAAAUUUCAACAAUAUAUAAAAAUUACAAAAAAGAAA